rnacentral:rRNA from 1 species
CUGCAUGGCUGUCGUCAGCUCGUGUCGUGAGAUGUUGGGUUAAGUCCCGUAACGAGCGCAACCCUUGCUGUGUGUUACAAGUGUCACACGGAACUGCCAGUCAUAAACCGGAGGAAGGUGGGGAUGACGUCAAGUCAGCAUGGCCUUUAUAUCCUGGGCUACACACACGCUACAAUGGGAAGGGACAAUAGGUUGCGAAGCCGCGAGGCGGAGCCAAUCCAGCAAAACUUCCCUCAGUUCAGAUUGCAGGCUGCAACUCGCCUGCAUGAAGUUGGAGUUGCUAGUAAACGCAGGUCAGCCAUACUGCGUUGAAUACGUUCCCGGGGCUU